GACGAAGGGGGCUAGCGUUGUUCGGAAUUACUGGGCGUAAAGCGCGUGUAGGCGGUUGCCCAAGUCGGGUGUGAAAGCCUUGAGCUCAACUCAAGAAAUGCACUCGGUACUGGGUGACUAGAGGGCCGGAGAGGAUAGUGGAAUUCCCAGUGUAGUGGUGAAAUACGUAGAGAUCGGGAAGAACAUCAGUGGCGAAGGCGGCCUGCUGGGCUGUUGCUGACGCUGAGGCGCGACAGCGUGGGGAGCAAACAGG
rnacentral:rRNA from 1 species